UGAUAAUUUUAAUGCUUCAAAUAAUCAUAAGGUUUACCUCAAUUCAUCAUUUAACAAUAAAAGGAUUACAUUAAAUAGAGCAAGUUAUAUUAUAUAUAUAUUAUUCUUUGGCUUUGAGUCUCGACUUUCUGCCUGCUGGCUCGGAUGCUAAGGUAAAACAAGAUUUUUUAGUUUUUUGAAAUUAGUAAUAAUAACAUAAAUUUAUCAUUGUGUAAAGUUUAUAAGGUUCAUUGCAAUUUAAAAAUAUUGUAACAAGGGAAAAUAUCCUUUACUGAAUAUGUUUGAACACAUAAGCACUGCUGAAAAACUUCCUUAUUUUUAGGAUACAAAUAUGAUUUUUUAAAAUUAUAUUUAUAGGAUAACGAAGAUUUCAUUUUAGCCAAAAUCUAUUUCAGUAUAAGUACCAAUGGGACUGCAAUGGCUGCCAAUGGAUCCAUUUCAUCAUAUCAAUUCGAGGGUUUGAUGAGUUUUCCUGGAAGUCAGACCAUGACUUUGAGAAGAAUAGAGAGAAAGAUUUACACGUGCUUUGAAACUCUUCCUACGGUCCCCGUUCGUGGUGACGAUGGGCGGCAGCGGCGGCUAUAAUUUGGGAUCAGAUCCAAGCAGUGGCGAAGCUACCUCGGUGGCUACUAGUGGUUCUUAAAGGUGAGAGACCGGGUGGGUGACACCCCCCUUCUCCUAAGCCACUGGAUCCAAGGUCUGAAGCGGCAAAUGGCGAUUGCAGCGGGUUAAUAUCAGGAAUUUUCAAAGGUCAGGUGCCAAGGGGAGAGUCGGGAGAUGUCAAAAGUUAAAUAGUUUAUUUUGACAUUUGGGAGUUCAUUCUCAUCAGUGGCCUUUUUUACCAGUCUCUGUUUUAUCGUCUUAGUUUAAUCAUAAUAACCUUGUAUGUAUAUGUGAAA